rnacentral:rRNA from 1 species
UGGGCAACCUGCCCUCAGCUCUGGGAUAACCCCGGGAAACCGGGGCUAAUACCGGAUACGACCUCCGUGGGCAUCUGCGGAGGUGGAAAGGUUUUCCGGCUGAGGAUGGGCCCGCGGCCUAUCAGCUAGUUGGUGGGGUGAUGGCCCACCAAGGCGACGACGGGUAGCCGGCCUGAGAGGGCGACCGGCCACACUGGGACUGAGACACGGCCCAGACUCCUACGGGAGGCGAGCGA